AACGAACGCUGGCGGCAGGCCUAACACAUGCAAGUCGAACGCCGUAGCAAUACGGAGUGGCAGACGGGUGAGUAACACGUGGGAACAUACCCUUCGGUUCGGAAUAACUCAGGGAAACUUGAGCUAAUACCGGAUACGUCCGCGAGGAGAAAGAUUCAUCGCCGGAGGAUUGGCCCGCGUCUGAUUAGCUUGUUGGUGAGGUAACGGCUCACCAAGGCGACGAUCAGUAGCUGGUCUGAGAGGAUGAUCAGCCACAUUGGGACUGAGACACGGCCCAAACUCCUACGGGAGGCAGCAGUGGGGAAUAUUGGACAAUGGGCGCAAGCCUGAUCCAGCCAUGCCGCGUGAGUGAUGAAGGCCCUAGGGUUGUAAAGCUCUUUUGUGCGGGAAGAUAAUGACGGUACCGCAAGAAUAAGCCCCGGCUAACUUCGUGCCAGCAGCCGCUGUAAG
rnacentral:rRNA from 1 species